rnacentral:rRNA from 1 species
UGAAUACGAGAUGCUACGGCAUCGAAGCAGUCUAUGUCAUACUUCCAAGAAAAGCUCGCACUGUCAAAAACAAAUUAAUGCCUGUACCAUAACCGACACAGGUGGGUAGGUAGAGUAUACUAAGGGGCGCGAGAUAACUCUCUCUAAGGAACUCGGCAAAAUAACUCCGUAACUUCGGGAGAAGGAGUGCCUUUUUUAAGGCUGCAAUAACCAGAUCCAAGCAACUGUUUAUCAAAAACACAGGUCUCCGCUAAGUCGUAAGACGAUGUAUGGGGGCUGACGCCUGCCCAGUGCCAGAAGGUUAAAGAAGUUGGUUAGCCUUGCGAAGCUGAUGACUGAAGCCCUGGUGAACGGCGGCCGUAACAAUAACGGUCCUAAGGUAGCGAAAUUCCUUGUCGGGUAAGUUCCGACCCGCACGAAAGGCGUAAUGAUUUGGAUACUGUCUCGGAGAGGGACUCGGUGAAAUAGACUUGUCUGUGAAGAUGCGGACUACCUGCACCAGGACAGAAAGACCCUAUGAAGCUUUACUGUAACUUGAGAUUGAAAUUGGACUUUACUUGCGCAGUAUAGGUGGGAGGCAUUGAAGAGAUUCUUGCGGGAAUUUUGGAGCCAUCAGUGAGAUACCACUCCUGUAAUGUUAGAUUUCUAACUUUGAAUCAUUAUCUGGUCAAAGAACAGUCUCAGGCGGGCAGUUUGACUGGGGCGGUCGCCUCCCAAAUGGUAACGGAGGCGCACAAAGGUUUCCUCUGAACGGGUAGAAAUCGUAUCUAGAGUGUAAAGGCAUAAGGAAGCUUGACUGUGAGACCUACAAGUCGAGCAGGGACGAAAGUCGGUCUUAGUGAUCUGACGGUGCUGAGUGGAAAGGCCGUCACUCAACGGAUAAAAGUUACUCUAAGGAUAACAGGCUGAUCUCCCCCAAGAGUUCACAUCGACGGGGAGGUUUGGCACCUUGAUGUCGGCUCAUCGCAUCCUGGGGCGGUAGUACGUCCCAAGGGUUGGGCUGUUCGCCCAUGAAAGCGGUACGCGAGCUGGGUUCAGAACGUCGUGAGACAGUUCGGUCCAUAUCCGGUGUAGGCGUUAGAAUAUUGAGAGGAUCCUUCUUUAGUACGAGAGGACCGAGAAGGACAUACCUCUGGUGUACCAGUUAUCGUGCCAACGGUAAACGCUGGGUAGCUAUGUAUGGAGUGGAUAACCGCUGAAAGCAUCUAAGUGGGAAGCCCACCUCAAGAUAAGUAUUCUC